AUGCACCCGUUUCCAAGGAACUCACCAAAGGGGUGCCAAAAAAUGCUUUGGGAUCCCUCGUUAAGAGCACUUCAACCCCUGUUUGACUCAGCUCCACUUCACUGAAGAAAGCAGGAGAGUGAUUUUCUUAGUCUUCUGCUCCUGAUGUGUGCGUGCUUCUCAUUGUCAGUUAGAGAUUGUCUUAUAAAGUCACCUCAUUAUUUUGCCUUUUAAGUGGCCAGAUUCUCACAGCGAACUUAUAUCACGUAACGUGGAAGUUGUUGAGUGACUGUGCACUACUUCCACUGAAAAUCAGCACUAAUUAAAAUCUAAUUAUUCUAAAUUGUCAAGACGCUUCAGAAACAAUAUUAGCAACAUGGAAGGGGAAGCAAGCUGACUCAAUUUCAGACGUGAUCCUCGUGUCCUCCAUGGGAUUUGGGCCAUUUCAAAUUUAAUUCCCCCAAGAUUGUGGUAGACAUUCAGAGCUCUUUUGAGAUAAUGGAGAGGAAACCCUGCAGAUGCAGUGACAGAAAUGGCAAUUACAGCAACACCGGAGCAGAGAUGUCUCCAUCAAUUACAUCACGCUCAGGUGUUGGGAGCUGCAGAUUUGGAAAAGGUACCCUGGGAGAUGGAACCUCAGAAGGAAAAGCAGCUCCCAGAUGGGACCAUGAUGUUCAAACCCCUUUGCAAGGUGAAGGAUUCUGUGCUGGCAGAUGUGAGGAAGAAUCCUGGCCAGUGGGAUACAGAGCAAGUUGUGUACGGUGCGGAGCAAGAAAGGUUCAGCCACUGCAGACUCCCAUGGCAUGGAAGAUCGUUUCCCUGUCGAUCUCAGGAAGCUUCACCGCUCCAAGAUGGAAGUAGCCAGUGUCCAUACACUGUCCAGGCACACCGCUGAGCAGGGGCUGUGAAGCAGGACUUGGAGCUCACUCUUUUAGUCCCAUUCAGAAUCAGUGUAUUCCUCUCGGUUCUGUGUCAGUCGCUUGCAUUCAGUUGGUGCCUCAAAGACAGAACUGCUGUGUGCAGGCUGGAGAGCCUGGCUAGACAAUUGUAUGCGUCUGUGACUAAGCUGCAUGCGAAGAGCUGAAAUAAAUGAUUUUUUAAUUUGAUGCA
rnacentral:lncRNA from 1 species